rnacentral:lncRNA from 1 species
GAGGGUUAACAGUCAGUCCUCUACUCUAUAUUCACCAUGCUCUAGUCUAGACUACUGGAGGAGGGUUAACAGACAGUCCUCUACUCUAUAUUCACCAUGCUCUAGUCUAGUCUAGACUACUGGAGGAGGGUUAACAGUCAGUCCUCUACUCUAUAUUCACCAUGCUCUAGUCUAGACUACUGGAGGAGGGUUAACAGACAGUCAGUCCUCUGCUCUAUAUUCACCAUGCUCUAGUCUAGUCUACUGGAGGAGGGUUAACAGUCAGUCCUCUACUCUAUAUUCACCAUGCUCUAGUCUAGACUACUGGAGGAGGGUUAACAGUCAGUCCUCUACUCUAUAUUCACCAUGCUCUAGUCUAGUCUAGACUACUGGAGGGUUAACAGCCAGUCCUCUACUCUAUAUUCACCAUGCUCUAGUCUAGACUACUGGAGGAGGGUUAACAGACAUCAGUCCUCUACUCUAUAUUCACCAUGCUCUAGUCUAGUCUACUGGAGGAGGGUUAACAGACAGUCAGUCCUCUACUCUAUAUUCACCAUGCUCUAGUCUAGACUACUGGAGGAGGGUUAACAGUCAGUCCUCUACUCUAUAUUCACCAUGCUCUAGUCUAGUCUAGACUACUGGAGGGUUAACAGUCAGUCCUCUACUCUAUAUUCACCAUGCUCUAGUCUAGUCUACUGGAGGAGGGUUAACAGACAGUCCUCUGCUCUAUAUUCACCAUGCUCUAGUCUAGACUACUGGAGGAGGGUUAACAGCCAGUCAGUCCUCUACUCUAUAUUCACCAUGCUCUAGUCUAGACUACUGGAGGAGUGUUACUAGACAAAUUGGACACGUCAGCUGGCUAGUGGAUUGGGUAACGUCAUUCUAUCCCACAUUCCAUUUCAGCUGAGCCAUGAACAGAACUGUAAAUUACUACUAAUUUAUAGCUACGUAAACCUACAUGCUACCCACCAACAUAUCUGAAACGUAUAAAAUGUAAACUACCCUACAAUAAACUGUUAACUUUGGAAAGUUUUAUCCAAUCUACCUAUUGUUAAAUGUGUUUUUGCUUUGGAGAGGAGAGAGUUCUCUGAAUGUUCUAUUCAAAUGUUACGGUAAACAUUCUCCACUUUUUGAUGUGUCAGGGUUCUGUUCUCUUGAUGUAGUUCUGUUCUCUUGACGUGUCAGGGUUCUGUUCUCUUGAUGUGUCAGGGUUCUGUUCUCUUGAUGUGUCAGGGUUCUGUUCUCUUGAUGUGUCAGGGUUCUCUUGAUGUAGUUCUGUUCUCUUGAUGUGUCAGGGUUCUCCUCUCUUGAAGAUUGAUGUUGGAGACGACAACUAAAGCCAAAUCCCAAGUAUUUUUUAAUUUUUUUAAUUUUUUUGUUACAUUUUCAACAAUACUACGAUGUAAAAUCAAUCAAAAUGUUUCUCUUCUGUUGACAUUUGUGAGCACCUGUUUCUCCUCGUCUGGUAUAUAGCUGCCUAAAUCCCAUUGUUUUAUUCCAUUGAGGACUACCCCCCACAGUGGGCCGCAAGUGUUUUAUGUUCACGUCAACUCUAGUGUUAUUGUGUUUCCAGCACUGGGGUAAAUCCUCAUUGGCAAUGCGACACUAAUGUGUUUAUGUAUUAUAGACUCACCUCUUUGGUGUAAGUAAUUGUGUGUAUAUAGAUAGUGCAGUUACUUAGAUAAUACUAUACAUACUGCAACAUACAAGUGUCUUCAGAAAAAAAUUCAUACCCCUUGACUUAUUCCACAUUUUGUUUUACAGUCUGAAUUCAAAAUGGAUUAAAUAUUGAUUUUAAUAAUAUUGAUUAAAUAUUCACCAAUCGACACACCUCAUAAUGACAAAUUGAAAACGUGUUUUUUUUAAAUGUUUGCAAAUACUGACUAGAAUACUUUGUAGAAACAAUGAUUACACCUGUGAGUCUUUCUGGGUAAUUCUCUAAGAGCUUUGCACACCUGGAUUGUACAAUAUUUGCCCAUUUAUUCUUUUUACAAUUUUUCAAGCUCAAGUUGAUUGUUGAUCAUUGUUAGACAAUAAUGUUGAGGUCUUGCCAUGGAUUUUCAAGCUGAUUUAAGUCAAAACUGUAAAUAGGCCACUCGGGGACAUUCAAUGUCAUCUUGGUAAGCAACUCCAGUGUAGAUUUAGCCUUGUGUUUUAGGUUAUUGUCCUGCUGAAAGGUGAAUUCAUUUCCCCAGUGUCUAUUGAAACACAGACUGAACCAGGUUUUCCUCUAUACCGUUUAUUUUUAUCCUAAAAACUCCCUAGUCCUUACCAAUGACAAGCAUACCCAUAACAUGAUGCAGCCACCGCCAUGCUUGAAAAUAUGAAGUGGUACUGAGUGAUGUGUUGUGUUGGAUUUGCCCCAAACAAAACACUUUGUAUUCAGGACAAAAAGUGAAUUUCUUUGCCAUAAUGUUUUCAGUAUUACUUAUAACUGUUUUAAAUUCACCAAUGGCCUCAUGGUGAAAACCCUGAGCGGUUUCCUUCCUCUCCGGCAACUGAGUUAGGAAGGACGCCUGUAUCUUUGUAGUGACUGGGUGUAUUGAUACACCAUCCAAAGCCUAAUUAUAACUUCACCUUGCUCAAAGGGAUAUUAAACAUUUUACCCAUCUACCAAUCGGUGCCCUUCUUUGCGAGGCAUUGGAAAACCUCCCUGGUCUUUGUGGUUGAAUCUGUGUUUGAAAUUCCCUGCUGGACUGAGGGACCUUCCAGAUAAUUGUAUGUGUGGGGUACAGAGACGAGGUAGUCAUUCAAACAUAAUGUUAAACACUGUUAUUGAACACGGGAUGAGUCCAUGCAACUUAUUAUGCCAUUUGUUAAGGAGAUAUUUACUCUUAAACUUAUUUAUGCUUGCCAUAAAGGGGUUAUAUACUUGUUUACUUAUUCAAGAUAUUUCAGUUUAAAAUGUUUUAUUAAUUUACAAAAAAAAUCUACUUACAAAAUUCCACUUUGACAUUAUGGGAUAUUGUGUGUAGAUCUCAAUUUAAUAAAUGUUCAUUUUAAAUUCAGGCUGUAAACCAUUUUUAAAUUCAGGCUGUAAACCAUUUUUAAAUUCAGGCUGUAAACCAUUUUUAAAUUCAGGCUGUAAACCAUUUUUAAAUUCAGGCUGUAAACCAUUUUUAAAUUCAGGCUGUAAACCAUUUUAAAUUCAAGCUGUAAGAACACAAUGUGGAAGAGAAGGGUGUGAAGACUUUCUGAAAGCCACUGUACAUACAACCAUUGCUAUGGGACCAAGAACAUUGCUGCAGUACUGUGAUGUUUUUUUUUAGCACAGUUAUUUAUACUGUAUCACUGUAUAUAUAUAUAUAUAUAUAUAUAUAUAUAUAUAUAUACGCCACUCAGAAAGCAUGCAGGAUAUUAUUAAGUUUGUUACGGUAAGAUCAUAAAUGAACCGUAUGAAAUAAAGAUGAGAGGAAUAUUAAACAGGGAUUUUACUACUGAGGAAGUAAUGUGGUUGUAUGACUAAUUUGGACAAGGACUGCCUAGAUAUAUACAUUAUUCGUCACUGACUCCGUCCAAUCUUCAUCCCAUAUUAAGUAUGGUAUUAUGGAUCCUCCCUUUUUCUACCCUACUCAGUGAUAUUCUGAUAUAACAAUGUCAUAUUUAAGUCAGGAACUAUUGACUGACGCAGACUGACUAUCCUAAGGCUUUGUGAACUUUUGAGUGCUGUACUUUUUAAUAUGCAUAAAAAAUAAAAAAAAGGUUACUUUACAAUACAUUACACUACUGUAUCCAUCACUAAAAUCCAUUCACAUCUUAACAACGACAACAAGUGAAAAGAAAAAUGACUUGAAACGGGAUUGAAGAGCGGGUCCAGGGUGUUUGUCGAAUGUGUUGUUGUGGUUUUAGUGAACUGUUUGUCAAAUGGCAUCCUACUCCUCAUACUGUAUAGUGCACUACUUUUGACCAGGGCCCAUAGAACUCAGGGCCCAUAGAGCUCAGGGCCCAAAGAACUCAGGGCCCAUAGAACUCAGGGCCCAUAGAGCUCAGGGCCCAUAGAACUCAGGGCCCAUAGAGCUCAGGGCCCAUAGAGCUCAGGGCCCAUAGAACUCAGGGCCCAUAGAACUCAGGGCCCAUAGAGCUCAGGGCCCAUAGAGCUCAGGGCCCAUAGAGCUCAGGGCCCAUAGAACUCAGGGCCCAUAGAGCUCAGGGCCCAUAGAGCUCAGGGCCCAUAGAGCUCAGGGCCCAUAGAGCUCAGGGCCCAUAGAGCUUAGGGCCAUAGGGGUUAGGGCCCAUAGGGGUUAGGGCCCAUAGAGCUCAGGGCCCAUAGAGCUCAGGGCCCAUAGGGUUCAGGUCAAAAGUAGUGCACUACAUGGGGAAUAAGUAUGGUGCCAUUUGGGGGACACAAUUCAUGUUGAAGUAGAUGGUUUCCUUCAGAGCUCUGGCCCUGUAUCUCUGCUUAGCCCUAAAAGCGACUCUGUUUUCUAUUGAAGUUUGUAAAAUAAGCGCUUUGAAAUAAAAGAACAAAUGAUAUCUCAUACUCUAG